rnacentral:sRNA from 1 species
GUCACUAAAAAUCAGUCCUUCUCAAAGCGAGGUCCAUGGAUUCACUGUGUCGAAACCAUCUGGAGUGCUGAUAAGAAGCCAGAUUCCCUAGACCUAUGGAAAGUAGAGUCUCUGGAAAUAGAGCCCAGGAAUUGCAUUUAAAAAAUAAGUCUCUCUUCUUCUUCCCCUAAGUAAAUCUUGUAUAGAGAGUUAUUGCUGUGAGAUUUUUAGUUGUGUGUAUGUUUUAAACAAAUGAUGAAAGGAAACAAUUAACUACACUGUAAUUUUUUUCCUAGUUAUAUCAGAGGAAGAAAAUGAGCUAGGGCUCUUUUUAAAGUUUCAAGCAGAACGGGAUGCAACUCAAGCUGGCAAAAUGAUGGAUGCCACUGGCAAGGCACUUUGUUCUUCAGCCAAGCAAAGAUUGGCCCUGUGUACUCCUCUGUCUCGUCUGAAGCAAGAAGUAGCAACAUUCAGUCAAAGGGCAGUAUCUGAUACCUUGAUGACAAUUAAUCGGAUGGAGCAGGCACGCACAGAAUACAGAGGAGCUCUGCUGUGGAUGAAAGAUGUAUCCCAAGAGCUGGACCCAGACACCUUAAAGCAAAUGGAAAAGUUCAGAAAAGUAUGAAAACGUAUCCCUUUCCUUUUCUUGGUGUAUGAAAUAUGAAACUGCCACAGAAUAAUUAAGAUAAUAAAAUUUCAGAUGUUUUUUGGUAAA